GGCUACGGCCACACCUCCCUGAGCACGGCCCGAUCUCGUCUGAUCUCGGAAGCUAAGCAGGGUCGGGCCCGGGUUAGUACUGGAUGGGAGACCGCCUGGGAAUACCAGGUGCUGUAAGCC
rnacentral:rRNA from 1 species